rnacentral:lncRNA from 1 species
CUUAGUGGCACUCGUGGGCGCUACCUAACCGAGUAUGCAAGUGUGUCUCUGCCGAGCUCAAUCAGGCUCUCACAGGCUGUAAUCGACGCAGAUGGGUCAAACUGGUCUAACAACUAUAAAUCAUAUGCUCUCGGCACAAUCCAAUGCUAAAAACAGCAAAUCGGGUCCACCGUUAACCACAACAGCACCCAACAGUCCGGAACAGUCUGAACACUACUGUAUAAAUAAUCUCUGCAUCCCAGCAUGAGCGUAAUAUUAUUCUACACUAUUCUGAGUAUCCACCGCUCACAAACUACGACGAUACAAAUAAACUACGGCUCCUAGAGCUAAAUCUGGUAAUUUCAGAAUAUGACGGUAUAAUCGACAGUUUUCUCCUAAGUCAAUUUCAAGUCCAACAUGUAUACUUUAGCUAAUAUUCUAGGCUCCAAUUC